GCCUGAGUAGCUCAGUUGGUAGAGCAGGACAUUUGUAAUGUUCAGGUCGUUGGUUCGAAUCCAAUCUCAGGCU
rnacentral:tRNA from 1 species